rnacentral:rRNA from 1 species
GAUGAACGCUGGCGGCGUGCCUAACACAUGCAAGUCGAACGGGGGUAGAUUGAAACCUAGUGAUAUCUGCCCGAGUGGCGGACGGGUGAGUAACGCGUGGACAACCUGCCGUAUGCAGGGGGAUACCAGCUGGAAACAGCUGCUAAUACCGCAUAUGCGCACAGGGCCGCAUGGCCUGGUGCGGAAAGGAGCAAUCCGGCAUACGAUGGGUCCGCGUCCGAUUAGCUAGUUGGCGGGGCAGCGGCCCACCAAGGCGACGAUCGGUAGCCGGCCUGAGAGGGCGGACGGCCACAUUGGGACUGAGACACGGCCCAG